AUGCUGCUUGGCCGGCUGUGUUCAUCCAGCUCUACACCUUGUUAUCUCAGAUUCUCCAGCAUCUGCAGUAUGUACUAUCUCUCCCCUAUUAGGAGAUAGCAGGUUCUCCUAUUAGCAGGUUGCUGCGUUUGAGUCUGGAAAUUAAAGAAAGAAGCCCCAGUCUACAGUGAAUGACACUUUCCCACCCAGUGGUUCUUGCUUCACUCCACACCCCCCGCCCUGUUCUCCCCAAAUCCAACUGAUAUCUAUCAGAGGAUGACGCAGAAGAACUUCUUCUCUCUGAAUGGGUUUUCAGAAGCUGGCAGUGGGGCGAUGAGUGGAUCAUCCCUAAGGAAACCUCUUCUCCAUACCUACUCUAUCAAAGAACUAAACUAAAGAAAACUGUGUCUGUCUUCAAUGAGCAAGUUAAAUUAAUCACCCUGGAAUACUGAAGAACCACGGGCUAGUGAAGUACUGAAAAAAGUAUUUGUAAAAAAGUAUUGAAGAAAUUAAUGGGACUGAAACUUGAAAAAUCUCCUGGAUCUAUCAUAGGAUCCCUACAGUUUGGAAACAGGCCUUUCAGCCCAACAAGUCCACAGCAACUCUCAGAGCAUCCCACCCAGACCCACCCC